UGGUGCCAGCAGCCGCGGUAAUUCCAGCUCCAAUAGCGUAUAUUAAAGUUGUUGCAGUUAAAAAGCUCGUAGUUGAAUUUCGGGAUCAGCAGGUUGGUCGUGCCUCUGGUAUGCACUGGUUUCGCUGAUUCCUCCUUUCUGAAGAACUGUAAUGUCAUUAAUUUGGUGUUGCAGGGAAACAGGACUGUUACUUUGAAAAAAUUAGAGUGUUUAAAGCAGGCUAACGCUUGAAUACAUUAGCAUGGAAUAAUGAAAUAGGACGUUUGAUCCUAUUUUGUUGGUUUCUAGGAUUGACGUAAUGAUUAAUAGGGAUAGUUGGGGGCAUUAGUAUUCAAUUGUCAGAGGUGAAAUUCUUGGAUUUAUUGAAGACUAACUACUGCGAAAGCAUUUGCCAAGGAUGUUUUCAUUAAUCAAGAACGAAAGUUAGGGGAUCGAAGACGAUCAGAUACCGUCGUAGUCUUAACCAUAAACUAUGCCGACUAGGGAUCGGAUGAUGUUAAUUUUUUAAUGACUCAUUCGGCGCC
rnacentral:rRNA from 1 species